UGCGUAGGCGGAUUAAUAAGUCAGUGGUGAAAACCUGCAGCUUAACUGUAGGCUUGCCAUUGAUACUGUUAGUCUUGAGUACGGUCAAGGUAGGCGGAAUGUGUAAUGUAGCGGUGAAAUGCUUAGAUAUUACACAGAACACCGAUUGCGAAGGCAGCUUACUGGACCAUUACUGACGCUGAGGCACGAAAGCGUGGGGAGCGAACAGGAUUAGAUACCCUGGUAGUC
rnacentral:rRNA from 1 species